rnacentral:tRNA from 4 species
GGGCGGCUAGCUCAGUUGGUAGAGCGACCGCCUUACACGCGGUAGGUCAUAGGUUCGAGUCCUAUGCCGCCCA